rnacentral:rRNA from 1 species
GAUGAACGCUGGCGGCGUGCCUAAUACAUGCAAGUCGAGCGAACGGACGAGAAGCUUGCUUCUCUGAUGUUAGCGGCGGACGGGUGAGUAACACGUGGAUAACCUACCUAUAAGACUGGGAUAACUUCGGGAAACCGGAGCUAAUACCGGAUAAUAUUUUGAACCGCAUGGUUCAAAAGUGAAAGACGGUCUUGCUGUCACUUAUAGAUGGAUCCGCGCUGCAUUAGCUAGUUGGUAAGGUAACGGCUUACCAAGGCAACGAUGCGUAGCCGACCUGAGAGGGUGAUCGGCCACACUGGAACUGAGACACGGUCCAGACUCCUACGGGAGGCAGCAGUAGGGAAUCUUCCGCAAUGGGCGAAAGCCUGACGGAGCAACGCCGCGUGAGUGAUGAAGGUCUUCGGAUCGUAAAACUCUGUUAUUAGGGAAGAACAUAUGUGUAAGGAACUGUGCACAGCUUGACGGUACCUAAUCAGAAAGCCACGGCUAACUACGUG